GUGGUAAAACUUUUGCUCAAAGUAGCAACUUACAAUGUCAUCUAGUUACCCACUCUGGAAUUAAGGCGUACAGCUGUGGCAUUUGUGGGAAAACUUUCAGCACGCCAGGGUACCGCAAUAUUCACGUACGGAUUCAUACCGGACAGGAUGUUUUCUGCUGUGAUCAGUGUGGGAAACUGUUUACAACAGCCACACACUUACAAAGCCACAUGUUUACCCACACUGAGGAGAGACCUUAUAAAUGUGACCUGUGCAAUAAGGCUUUUAAAGCUCCACGUCACCUGAAACUCCACCAAGAGAUCCACACCAGAAAGAAACUCUACAAGUGCAGUUACUGUGAGAAGCAGAGCGACACAGAUGGAUCCAGUAGUCAACCCUGUCGUCACUGUGGUGGUGGGAAAGACUUUCGUUGUGACCUUUGUGGAAAAACUUUCAGUCGGCAACAAAGCCUAAAAAUACAUCAGCGUAGACACACUGGAGACAAAAUGAACUACUGCAAAGAAUGUGGGAGAGGUUUCCCCACAUCAAGUGCAUUAAAAAAGCAUGUACUCAUUCACAGUGGAGUCAAAAACCACGUGUGUGACCAGUGUGGGUCAUCCUUCACCACUGCAGGUGAGCUUAAAGUGCAUAAACGAGUCCACACAGGAGAGAAACCAUACAAGUGCAGACACUGUGACAGAAGCUUCUCACGAUCGAGCAGUCAUAACCUUCAUGAACGUACACACAUGGAAGAGAACUUCAGCUGUGACCAAUGGCAUCAGCGUGAUCAUGCAGGACUGAAAUCACUGGAUCACAAUGAUUCUGAAGAGACAGAAAGAUCCUCUUCUGGUUUCAGGGUCAGACUUAAAAACCUUGAGAUCAGGCUCCACAGAGUUCAUCUAGAGUCUCCUGUAAAGAGUGCAGCUGAUGUCACACUUGGAUGUUAUGAGGUAGCUCUGAUUUCUGGACCUGCAGUAAAUAAUCCUGGAUCUUAAAUUUGGGAAUCUGCAAGUAUAGACAUGAAAAUCAAGGUUUUCUCCCCUGAGGGAUUUAAUGCUCUAAAUUUCUAUCCCUGUUAAAUGUUAAUCUUUGUUCAAUUAGAACACAAUAGUGUUUUGUAGUUGUACUUUUUAAAGUAAUAUAAACGCUAUGUGAAUAUGUUUUUUGUUUUUGUUUUUAACCAAACUUAUAUUGUACCAAAUAUCAGUGUAUGGCUAUAUACAUCAAUUUCUUUCAUUUCAACUUUCUUAGUUUUUUUUUAAUUAACUUGUUUUUCAUCUAUUUAUCUUAUGUGUUACCUCAGUUAAAUUUGAAUGGCUUUUCAUAUUUAAACUUGUGCUUUGGUCAUCCCUGUUCUUAAAUCCAUUUCUUUCAAAACUCCAAAUCAUUUCACACUAGUUCCUGCAGUGACUAGUACAGGAUUUUACAUUUAAAAGCUGCAAAGUAUUUUCUCCCUUCCUGAUUUUUAUGUGUGUUACAAUUAAGUGCUUUAGUUCAUUAAACAGACUUUGAAAAACAAAAUGUUUGUAUGUAUUAGAGAAAAAUAAAUAAGAAAAAUAAAUAAAGCCAAGCAGUCUGAAUAAAUCAUAAAUGCCAAAGCCUAUCUUAGGGGUAGUAUUAGUUCAUAUACCACAAUGCAGAA